GUGCCUCAAUCUCGCCUCACGUGUCUUCUUUCUCUCUUCUUAACCAUAUGUGUAACUCUCUCUAUCAAAUUCUCCCGCCCCAUCCACUUCUCACGUGUUGGAAGCCUCUAAAAGGCAUAUGCUAGAUGAAUAUGAAGCGUAGGUUCGAUUUCAAUGAAUCACAUCCCUUCAUUUAUCAGGUUGGUGCCUGAUAAGUAGAGAGAACUUUGGAGGAUUUUUCGGAGGGGGAGCAUGGAAAGAAAAGGGCCAAGAGAUUUCAAUUCUAACAUACAAAGGAUAUGAAAGAGACAUAGUGGUUCGAUUUCUCUUGCAUCUUUACUCCUCCAUUUUAUUUUGCUUUGGAUUUAUGGUGUCAAGUAUGGAUUUUGAGUGAGUCGUUUGUUGAUUCGAGUUCCGAUCAAGGCUUGUUCGAGGUUGCUGGCUGCUUUUGCUUGGUUGCUGCGUGAUUCAAAUUUUCACUGCCGAGGUCCAUGGUAUUUCUGCCCCUGAAAUUAAUAGAAAUUUUGAGCAUCCCAGUUUAUUUCCCCUCUUAUACUACUUUGUUUAUAUGGUUUAAAACAUGGUUAGGAGAUUCAGUCUCGUUGGAGCUGAGAUUUAUGUGAUGUCGAUGUGAUAAGCCGCAUUUUGAUAACUUUAUAGUUGGUAAGGCAUUUGAAUUAAAGCGUGAUUAGUUGUGAAACGAUUAGCUGAAUUUCAUUCUAGUAACAUGGUCUUCGUGAUUGCGAACAUUAACCGUUUGGGUGUAAAGCCUAUGUGCUUGAGUUGAUAUUUUGUAAACCUUAAAGUUUAAGCUUCAAGUUGUACCUUUCUAUUGCUGAAAUCUGCCCCAAUUUCUGGCUCUGUUUUACAUUUGAAAACAUUGGUUUGAGCACUUGGUAUCCUCUGAUUGUUUUUUCUACUCCCUAUUCAUUGUUUUCAAACUGUGAGUGUGUAAUUCUGCUGUACUCGGCACGAGCCACAAGAUUCAGGGCUUGUUUAAUGGUUUAGAAAAAUCAUCAAGAUGUACAUGGAAUGUGUGGUUGGUCCAGGAUGACCCUCAUUGCCAACCUUGAUAUUUUAUGUUUGGAAAUUUAGCACAUAGCUAGUCAUUGGUUGUGUUAAGCCUAACCUCAGUGCAAUUUGUUCAAGUAUCCUUAUGAGAAUCAAUUCAUUGGAGAUUUUUGUGCUAAUUAUAGAAUAAUACAUGUCCUGGAUUCUUUGUGAUCUAGUUUCUGAAUUCCAUUUCUUCUGAUUAGUUGAGUUAGUAUCAAGGAGACGUAAUACUCAUUAAGUUCAGAAUGUCAGUCCACGACUGGGUAGACUUUCAUCCAAAUCUCAUUGAAUUUUAUUUAUGUGACGUGGUAUGAGACAUGUUGCAAUGACGGAGUUGAAAUGUGUCAAAAAUCGCGAAUGCAUUUAUGUGACGUGGUUCGAGACAUGUUGCAACGACAUUACAAUUUCCUUUAAAAGAUAAUAAUAAAAGCGGUUGAAGGUUAAAAAGCUCAUAAAUCAAAACAUGAUCUAGAACCAGAUAAUUUAAGCCAAAUAUGACAGUUGAGCGACCGUGCUAGAACCACGGAACCCGGGAAUGCCUAACACCUUCUCCCGGGUUAACAGAAUUCCUUAUUCGGAUUUCUGGUUCGCGGAUUGUUAAAAAUAGUCAUUCUUUCCUCGAUUCAGGAUUCUAACCGGUGACUUGGGACACCAUAAAUCUACCAAGUGGCGACUCUGAAAUUCUCUUAAAUAAUUGAAUCCCCUUUCGAUUGUCCUUUAAUUGGAAAAGCGCUCUUAUCUACGCCCUUCACCGGGUUGUGGAUAUUCAAAAGGAGGUGUGACAGCUCUGGAGACUCUACUGGGGAACGAACCCAGAAUCUCUAGUUUUGGGUUCAAGAAUUCGAGCUUAGAAUAAUUGUUGUAUUUGGCUUUGUUUAUUAUUUGAUUUUACAUGUUGACUUAAUGAGCAAAAUGAUGCUUGUACCGCUUUGAUACUAUUUGAAUUGUAUAUAAACUGUUACGAAACCCUUUCUCUCUUUAUCUUCGGGGAUGUGCUCGCUGGUCG
rnacentral:lncRNA from 1 species